UAGUCGUUUCACGAUUAAGUCCAGGAUUUACCAACUGGCCUAUUGAGCAGCCUAUCGAGAGGAUAGAUCACCUUUUGGUGGUCUAAGAGGAAUGAGUUCUCCUAAGUAGAAGUGAUAAGCGGCAACCCAUAGAUAGCUAAAAUGUGAAUAUAGGAUAUCUUAAAGGUUUCCACUUACAUUCGUAUGUACGAACCUUAUGCUGGAUGGAUUAACUUGAAAUUUAUAUACCAAACAUGAAAUUAUUUGGAACGAAGAUCCAUAAAUAAUUCGAUUGGACUUGACUUUCGGUACCAGAAUGAUGGUAUUUUUAAUAAUUAAAAAAUUCAUAUAAAUACACAUAUGCAACGAAAAUAAAUAAUUUUAUAAAAAUUGUAUAAUAAAUACAAUUUCUACAGGAAUAUUUAAGAUAGUAACAGGCAUUACCGUGAACUACAUCGGUCAUAUUUAUUUUGUAAAAG